CAGAGGGGCAGGCCCAAUGGAGCAUUCUGGGGAGUAAGAUCAACAAAAUCUUGAGGCAGGAUAAAGCUUGUUGUUUGCAAGAUGAGAAAUCAUUUUUGUGGGAAGGAGAGGAAAGGCAGGAGUUGGAGCUAGAUAGAUAGGCAGGUGCCAGGUGAUCAGGACAAGAAGCUGAGACUCUAUUUCAACUGCAGUGGGAAGCCGUUGGGGAAGCUAUCGUGUGAUUCAUGUUUUUCAAAGGGUUGCUUUAAAGAGAGAAGAAGAGGAAUAGCAUGUUUGGUGAAAGGAGACCCUCAUCACUAUACAAAAUACAUGUAUGGAGAUGUGGGAAAAAAAUAAAGAGAGAAGAGGAGAAGAGAAAAGAGAAGGCUGGUAAUAUUUGGAUGGAUAGAGAUGAACGGAAAACAAUUGACAGCAUUUGUUGCCAGUGACAAAAAGGAGCUGUCACGCAAGAAUGAGAAUAUUGGAAAAUGCGUUUCUAAUAUGCUGAUUUUAAGGUUCCCAAUUCCCAGAUGCGAAAAGCAUCAAGGACUUUCUGUGAUACAGUUCCAACAUCUUCAUUCAAGUCCAACAUCCUCACUCAAAUGACCAUAACACUCUGAAGCAGCUUCCCAGGGCUGGCUGUGAUCUUACGAGUCCAAGAUGGAAUGGAUGGGUGAAAUUUCUAUCAUAUUCAGAUGCUGGUACAUUCAGCUUAGGAACUGGAUCUGUCAUGAGAAUGAUGCACAGCACUCUUCAGAACUUGAUCAGAACUUGAAGCCAUUUUAUUCCAAUGAGUUGAAGUAGUACUUUCCCCAGAAUUCAAUCCACACAAAAGAAAAAAAAAAGACAUAAAGGGGGUAGCAUUUUUAAGCACUUACCAUGAAACACUUUUCAUAUAAGUUAUAUAUAGAAACAACCUUGACCCAGAGGUGAUGGUUCACCUGGAAGCCUGGAUUUGCAUCCUAUUUUCUGCUCCCAAAUCCCAUGCUCUUUCUACCUGGCACACUGAACUUUCUAAUUCUUAUUGAGAUGAAACUCAAAAGCACUAAUGGCGUCUUGGAAGAAAAUAGAGUUGUCCUAUUAAAAAAAGAAAGAAAAAGAAAAUGGGUCAAAAUAUCUUCUAGAAUCACUGAAUUGUUACUGUUGAAAGGUUUUGAGAAAGGUAUGAAGGGGUAAGGCCUGAAGUAGCUUUAAUGAGGCUAAAGUGACUGUAAAUUUCAUAUGCCAUAAAAAGGGUAUCUGAGCUGAGAACCGUACAUCUUGCUUCCAGUUGUAGUUCUUUUAUGCCACGGUUCCCAUGUCAACAUGGUGGGUGAAGCUGAGAAGGCUGGGAUUUUUGGAGAGUUAACAAAACCAACGGUAUUUUAGGAAAGUGAGAUGAAGUUUCUUAAGCACCUCCCAGUUACUAGAAUAGGUCCUUGGGGAGGAAGAUGUCAAAUAUUUAAGAGCAAAGUCUUUGUAGACCACGAAAAGAACCAAUCUUUAUUACUUGGUCAAUUUCCUAUUUUCUGAUUUUGACUCUGUUGCUUUGGGAUAGAGAAGAAAAGAAAAUAGAAUCUUGGAAGAAAUAGAAUUUAAAUAAUAUGAGCUCACAGCUUCCUUUUCCUUGAUUCUACUUUUCUCCCUCAGAAAAGAUUUCUCUAGAUCCAAUAGUCAGGAAAUCUAGAUUCUACAGAGCUCUGUAGAUAUUGAAUAAACUCCUUUACUUAUUUGUGGUUAUGCUUUUCAUCUAUUUAAUAAAUGAUCUCAACUCUAUUCUGUCUAUUCAGUUAUAAACUGUUGUGAUUUUCCAAUUCUUAUUUCUUAUUAGAAUAUUCUACUACAGAGGACAAUGUAGGACCUAGUCCACGGUUGACAUUCAAUGAAAAAAACAGUACCUAGGAGCUGUGAGAUUGUGCAGUACCAGACACUGCAGGCUUGCGGGGAAUUUGGAUGGAGACUGUCAGAAAACACAGAGGAGGCUGGACUCUCCCCAAAGUGAAUCUGCAGGCUUAGUUCCCAGAACCAUCUGCAGCUGGUGAAAAAUGACCCACUACAGCUGGUGAACAUUUCCCUACCUCUUUUCCUCUGACUUCACACAGCUGUGACAGACGGUGUCCCAGCAGGGUCUGCUCAGCUCAGCUGCCAACCGGGAGCGCCAUCAUGAUGUUCCUGACUUCAGAUCUGGCGCAUGGAUUCUGUUUGUUCUAGCCAGGCCUCACUCACCCUCAGGAACUGCGCACCAUUAGAACUUGGCAAUAAACGUUGUUGACUAAAGGACUGGAGAAUCUUUUAUCAUUAAUGUCAUAAGUCCAAAAAAAGGCAUGAGGGAUCACCCAAGUCAAGGCCUUUGUAUUUUAGACAGAGGGACUCUCUCAGGUGCAGAAAUUCAAGGUUAUAUAUUCCUCAGUGAGGAAUUAAGACUAGGGCCCAGGUCCCUGGUCAUGAUCUUCCAUUCCAAGUCAUUCUUCACUUUAUUAAGUGUUUUCCUGAAUUCAUGUGGAACAUGCUAAGGAAAAAGGUAUCCACUUUUUGGAAACUUUUGGCUUCAUACUCCAGUCUGAGAAGAAUGUUUAUGGUGGCUACUCUCCUUGACCUUUGGUCUACUUUUUUAAGAAUGUUCUUAGGCUUCUUUAGAUAUGCAUGCCGAUUUAUGUUGUGUUUCUGAGCAGAAUAUUCCAGAAUAAGUACCAGAGACCACAAGAAGUAAUAGUAACCGUUUGGGAUUUAGGAACUAUUUUGCCUGAAAUGGAAUUUCAGUUUACCAUUCACUAGUAUUAUGAUCUUUUCCUAUCUUUAAAGGAGUAAUGGUUUAAACUUGGAUGAAGUCCAGUUUAUCAUAUCAUUAUUUUAGUGGUUUUGUGAGAAAUAUUCGCAUAACCCAAGGUCACAAAAGUUUUCUUUUUUGUUUUAUUUUGAAAGUUGAACAGUUUUAGCUUUUGUGUUUUUGUAGGUUAUCCUUUUGGAGUUAAAAUAUGUGUAAGGAUGUAAGGACUAAGGAUUUUUUUUUUCCUACAGAUAUACAGGUAUGUAAGAGCCAUUUGUUGAAAAGAAUAUAUUUUUUUAUUUACUGAAUUGCCUUGACACUUUUUAAAAAAUCUGUUGACCAUGAAUGUAUUUAUUUAUGUUUCAUUCUCUACUUAUACAAAUGCCACAUUUGCCAUAUUGCAGCUGGUAAAAAAUGACCCACUGUGGUAAAAAGUUUUGAAAGUAAAUAAAGUAAGUGUUUUAGUCUUAUUCAAGA